AAGUCGUAACAAGGUUUCCGUAGGUGAACCUGCGGAAGGAUCAUUAUCAUACAACGGAGGUGCCAGGGCUGUCGCUGACUUUGUCGUGCACGCCCGGAGCGCUCUCUAAAAUCCAUCUCACCCCUUUUGUGCAUCACCGCGUGGGCUCCCCUUUUGGCUUGUUCCAAAGGGAGGGUUCGCGUUUCUUCCACACGGACACCCUUUUAAUGCAUGUGUAGAAUGUCUUGCUUUUUGCGGUCACACGCAAUCAAUACAACUUUCAACAACGGAUCUCUUGGCUCUC
rnacentral:misc_RNA from 1 species